GGGGGCGUAGCUCAGUGGUUAGAGCACCUGCCUUUUAAGCAGGGUGUCGUGGGUUCGAUCCCCACCGCCCUCACCA
rnacentral:tRNA from 1 species